rnacentral:misc_RNA from 1 species
UCCCCGUUGCCAGGGCAGUCUGAAUAGAAAAAUUCAACUAUUCAUAAGGGUUGCGCUCGUUGAUGGACUUAACCAAACAUCUCACGACACGAGCUGACGACGGCCAUGCAACACCUGUCACCUUGCUCAAUAAAGCACUCUCGCCUUUCGGCAAAAUUCAAGGGAUGUCAAGCCCUGGUAAGGUUCUUCGUUUAUCAUCGAAUUAAAGAACACGCUCCACCGCUUGUGCGGGCCCCCGUCAAUUCCUUUGAGUUUCAUUCUUGCGAACGUACUCCCCAGGUGGUGUGCUUACUGCGUUAACUGCGUCACGGACCCGCAAGUAGUGAGGAAGGUGGGGAUGACGUUGUACACCUGAAC